GCACAAGCGGUGGAUGAUGUGAUUAAUUCGAUGCAACGCGAAAACCUUACCUACCCUUGACAUGUCUGGAACCUUGCUGAGAGGCGAGGGUGCCUUCGGGAGCCAGAACACAGGUGCUGCAUGGCUGUCGUCAGCUCGUGUCGUGAGAUGUUGGGUUAAGUCCCGCAACGAGCGCAACCCUUGUCAUUAGUUGCCAUCAUUUAGUUGGGCACUCUAAUGAGACUGCCGGUGACAAACCGGAGGAAGGUGGGGAUGACGUCAAGUCCUCAUGGCCCUUAUGGGUAGGGCUUCACACGUCAUACAAUGGUCGGUACAGAGGGUUGCCAAGCCGCGAGGUGGAGCAAAUCGCAGAAAAUCAUCCGUAGUUCGGAUUGGAGUCUGAAACCCGACUCCAUGAAGGUGGAAUCGCUAGUAAUCGCGCAUCAGCAUGGCGCGGUGAAUACGUUCCCGGGCCUU
rnacentral:rRNA from 1 species